AGAGUUUGAUCCUGGCUCAGGACGAACGCUGGCGGCGCGCCUAACACAUGCAAGUCGAACGAGCGAGAGAGAGCUUGCUUUCUCGAGCGAGUGGCGAACGGGUGAGUAACGCGUGAGGAACCUGCCUCAAAGAGGGGGACAACAGUUGGAAACGACUGCUAAUACCGCAUAAGCCCACGGGUCGGCAUCGACCAGAGGGAAAAGGAGCAAUCCGCUUUGAGAUGGCCUCGCGUCCGAUUAGCUAGUUGGUGAGGUAACGGCCCACCAAGGCGACGAUCGGUAGCCGGACUGAGAGGUUGAACGGCCACAUUGGGACUGAGACACGGCCCAGACUCCUACGGGAGGCAGCAGUGGGGAAUAUUGCACAAUGGGGGAAACCCUGAUGCAGCGACGCCGCGUGGAGGAAGAAGGUCUUCGGAUUGUAAACUCCUGUUGUUGAGGAAGAUAAUGACGGUACUCAACAAGGAAGUGACGGCUAACUACGUGCCAGCAGCCGCGGUAAAACGUAGGUCACAAGCGUUGUCCGGAAUUACUGGGUGUAAAGGGAGCGCAGGCGGGAAGACAAGUUGGAAGUGAAAUCCAUGGGCUCAACCCAUGAACUGCUUUCAAAACUGUUUUUCUUGAGUAGUGCAGAGGUAGGCGGAAUUCCCGGUGUAGCGGUGGAAUGCGUAGAUAUCGGGAGGAACACCAGUGGCGAAGGCGGCCUACUGGGCACCAACUGACGCUGAGGCUCGAAAGUGUGGGUAGCAAACAGGAUUAGAUACCCUGGUAGUCCACACCGUAAACGAUGAUUACUAGGUGUUGGAGGAUUGACCCCUUCAGUGCCGCAGUUAACACAAUAAGUAAUCCACCUGGGGAGUACGACCGCAAGGUUG
rnacentral:rRNA from 2 species